rnacentral:ncRNA from 1 species
GAUAACUAGCUUAUGACAGCCAAGCGUCCAUAGCGACGUUGCUCUUUGAUUCUUCGAUGUCGGUUCUUCAUUUUAUUGUGAAGCAGAAUUCGUCAUGCGUUGGACUCUACUCCCAUUAUUAGGGAACAUGAGCUGAGUUUAAACAUACAUAUGACAUG